GGUCCUUUGGCGCAAUGGUAGCGCGUCACUUUCCGGUUUUCUUCUGGUUAGUUGGUGAAGGUUCACGGUUCGAGUCCGUGGAGGAUCG
rnacentral:tRNA from 1 species